GUCCUUUAGAAAAAAAAUUAAAGGUCUAAUCUGCCCAAUGAUAAUUGAAUGGCCGCGGUAACUUGACCGUGCAAAGGUAGCAUAAUUAUUAGUCUUUUAAUUGAAGGCUUGAAUGAAUGAUUGGAUGAAAAAUAAACUUUAUUAACAAAAAUUAUUUAAUUUAUUAUUUAAGUAAAAAUUCUUAAAUAUUCAAGUGGGACGAGAAGACCCUAUAGAGUUUUAUUUUUAUUUUUAUCAUAAUAUUUUAGAAUUAAUAUUUUUAUAAUAAAAGUAAAUUUUUUAUUGGGGUGAUAUUAAAAAUUAUUAAACUUUUAAUUAAUAUUUCAUUAAUAUAUGUAUUAUUGAUCCAGAAUAAAAUUUUGAUUAUAAGAAUAAAUUACCUUAGGGAUAACAGCGUUAUUAAUUUGAAGAGUUCAAAUCGAUAAAUUAGUUUGCGACCUCGAUGUUGGAUUAAGAAUAAAUUUUGAAGUAGUAUUUAAAAUUAUAGGUCUGUUCGACCUUUAAAUUCUUACGUGAUCUGAG
rnacentral:rRNA from 1 species